UCGCAUCAACCGACGCUCGAAACUUCGACGCCAUGACCUUCAGUGAGCGAUCUUCAUCGUCGACGACACCAACAACAGCAACAACACUUCGAACAACUAACGAAUCUUCAGCGAACGAGCGAAUCUUCAGGUAACUUAUUUUUUUUCUUUUUCUUUUUCUUGUUUUUAUUCGCCUGUUUUAAUUUUUCGUAAUUUGUCAUUUUUUUCAGAAUUCAGAUCUUGUUUGAAGACCUCGUUUUUUCAUUUCCGUGAAUUUUUCGAAGAACUCAUUUUUUCAUCCUAAAAUCUCCAGAUGUGUUCGAAGUAUAACAACGAGAAGGAAGAUCAAGAUGUGAAGGAAGCUCCAACAUUUUUUUUACUAUUAUUGAUAGAUUUGUUUUUAUGAAUUAUUGUAAUAUAUAUGUUCUAAAAUUCGAAGCAUUUUCGUUUUUAUUUUUCCAGAUCUGGUCGAAUUUUUGUACAGUAUUGUUAUUAGUUUUAUUUGAUUUUCAAUCCUCUAUCUCUUA